CGGCGGACGGGUGAGUAACACGUGGAUAACCUACCUAUAAGACUGGGAUAACUUCGGGAAACCGGAGCUAAUACCGGAUAAUAUAUUGAACCGCAUGGUUCAAUAGUGAAAGACGGUUUUGCUGUCACUUAUAGAUGGAUCCGCGCCGCAUUAGCUAGUUGGUAAGGUAACGGCUUACCAAGGCAGCGAUGCGUAGCCGACCCGAGAGGGUGAUCGGCCACACUGGAACUGAGACACGGUCCAGACUCCUACGGGAGGCAGCAGGG
rnacentral:rRNA from 1 species